rnacentral:rRNA from 1 species
UACAGAGGUCUCAAGCGUUGUUCGGAUUCAUUGGGCGUAAAGGGCGCGUAGGCGGCGGGGUAAGUCUGGUGUGAAAUCUCGGAGCUCAACUCCGAAAUUGCACUGGAUACUGCUCUGCUUGAGGGUUGGAGAGGAGAUCGGAAUUCACGGUGUAGCAGUGAAAUGCGUAGAUAUCGUGAGGAAGACCAGUGGCGAAGGCGGAUCUCUGGACAAAUCCUGACGCUGAGGUGCGAAAGCGUGGGGAGCAAACAGG